ACCUGCCUGGCUCAGUCGGUAGAGCAUGAGAUUCUUGACCUCAGUGUUGUAAGUUCGAGCCCCGCGCUGGGUG
rnacentral:tRNA from 1 species